UACGUAGGGUGCAAGCGUUAAUCGGAAUUACUGGGCGUAAAGGGUGCGUAGGCGGUUCGUUAAGUCUGUUGUGAAAUCCCCGGGCUCAACCUGGGAAUGGCAAUGGAUACUGGCGGGCUAGAGUGUGUCAGAGGAUGGUGGAAUUCCCGGUGUAGCGGUGAAAUGCGUAGAGAUCGGGAGGAACAUCAGUGGCGAAGGCGGCCAUCUGGGACAACACUGACGCUGAAGCACGAAAGCGUGGGGAGCAAACAGG
rnacentral:rRNA from 1 species